CCUACGGGUGGCAGCAGUGGGGAAUAUUGCACAAUGGGCGCAAGCCUGACGCAGCCACGCCGCGUGUAGGAUGAAGGUCUUCGGAUCGUAAACCACUUUCAGCAGGGAAGAACGGUCUCUAUUCUAUUCCGUUAUGAAUUGACGUUACCUGCAAAAGAAGCACCGGCUAACUCCGUGCCAGCAGCCGCGGUAAUACGGAGGGUGCGAGCGUUAAUCGGAAUUACUGGGCGUAAAGCGCUCGUAGGCGGUAUGUCAAGUCAGGUGUGAAAUCCCCGGGCUCAACGUGGGAACUGCCUCUGAAACUGGCAAGCUGGAGUGUGUGAGAGGAUGGUGGAAGUCCAGGUGUAGGGGUGAAAUGCGUAGAGAUCUGGAGGAACAUCAGUGGCGAAGGCGGCUAUCUGGCACAAAACUGACGCUGAGGAGCGAAAGCGUGGGUAGCAAACAGGAUUAGAUACCCGAGUAGUC
rnacentral:rRNA from 1 species